UGGUUACUUGAGCGAGGCUGUCGUGUGCACUACUAUGGAUGGCUCUAGCUUUGUCACGUGCCCACCGCGUGCGAGAAAUUGCGAUAAAUUUCCCCACAUUGUGAUCCCUCCUCGACCUCCAAGAGCUCUUGUCGAUAAAGUAGAUCUAGAUCGAGAGAGAGAAUUGGCUUCUCAAGAAUCCACUGGAGUCAGAUCAGUAGAGGAGUUCACAUCGGGACUUUCACACAUAGAGAAAGAACCCAUACCCACCCCCUCCCAAACCCAAAAUCCCCCUGCCCCCCCGGUACUUAUUCAUACUGAACUUUAAAUUUUAUUGUUAAUAAAAGAUCGUUAGACACUCAGUCUAGUGAUUUAAACUUAUCAAAAAAAGACUGUUGUAGUUGAAGACGUGUAAGUGAAAACAACUUAUUAAUGCUACAUAAUGUAAUUUGAUAAAA